CUCUUUUUGUAAAUAAUUUAAAGUAGGGCCUGCCCACUGAAUAAUUUAAAGGGCCGCAGUAAUUUGACUGUGCAAAGGUAGCAUAAUCAUUAGUUUUUUAAUUAAAAGCUUGAAUGAAUGGUUUGAUGAAAAAAUAACUGUCUCAGUUUAAAAUUUAGAAUUUUAUUUUUAAGUUAAAAAGCUUAAAUUUUUUUAAAAGACGAGAAGACCCUUUAGAACUUUAUUAAUUUAAGUUAAAUAGUUUUAGAAUUUUGUAUUAUUUAAUUAAAAAUUAAUUUGAUUGGGGUGAUUAAAAAAUUUAUUAAACUUUUUUUAUAUAAAUACAUUAAUUUAUGAAUAAUUGAUCCAUAGAAAUGAUUAAAAGAAAAAGUUACCUAAGGGAUAACAGCGUAAUUUUUU
rnacentral:rRNA from 1 species